rnacentral:rRNA from 1 species
AUUGAACGCUGGCGGUAGGCCUAACACAUGCAAGUCGAACGCGAAAGUCCUUCGGGAUGAGUAGAGUGGCGGACGGGUGAGUAACGCGUAGGAAUCUAUCCUGUAGUGGGGGAUAACGUUUCGAAAGGAACGCUAAUACCGCAUACGCCCCAAGGGGGAAAGCGGGGGAUCUUCGGACCUCGUGCUAUAGGAGGAGCCUGCGUCGGAUUAGCUAGUUGGUGAGGUAAAGGCUCACCAAGGCGACGAUCCGUAGCUGGUCUGAGAGGAUGAUCAGCCACACUGGGACUGAGACACGGCCCAGACUCCUACGGGAGGCAGCAGUAGGGAAUAUUGGACAAUGGGCGCAAGCCUGAUCCAGCCAUGCCGCGUGUGUGAAGAAGGCCUUUUGGUUGUAAAGCACUUUAAGCGAGGAGGAGGCUACUUGGAUUAAUACUCUAGGAUAGUGGACGUUACUCGCAGAAUAAGCACCGGCUAACUCUGUGCCAGCAGCCGCGGU